rnacentral:snoRNA from 9 species
UGUGCAAAUGACGAUAAGAAGACAGGGACAUCAGUACUCCACCGGAGCAUGAUGAUUGUCUUUGGGAAUCUCUCUGAUGCCUG